UACGAAGGUGCGCUCAGCGUGGUCGGAAAUCACGCGUAGAGUAUAAAGGCAAAAGCGCGCUUAACUGCGAGACCCACAAGUCGAGCAGGUACGAAAGUAGGUCUUAGUGAUCCGGUGGUUCUGUAUGGAAGGGCCAUCGCUCAACGGAUAAAAGGUACUCUGGGGAUAACAGGCUGAUACCGCCCAAGAGUUCAUAUCGACGGCGGUGUUUGGCACCUCGAUGUCGGCUCAUCUCAUCCUGGGGCUGAAGCAGGUCCCAAGGGUAUGGCUGUUCGCCAUUUAAAGAGGUACGCGAGCUGGGUUUAGAACGUCGUGAGACAGUUCGGUCCCUAUCUACCGUGGGCGCUGGAAAUUUGAGAGGAUCUGCUCCUAGUACGAGAGGACCAGAGUGGACGAACCUCUGGUGUACCGGUUGUGACGCCAGUCGCAUCGCCGGGUAGCUAUGUUCGGAAGGGAUAACCGCUGAAAGCAUCUAAGCGGGAAGCCUACCUCAAGAUAAG
rnacentral:rRNA from 1 species